AAGUCGUAACAAGGUCUCCGUUGGUGAACCAGCGGAGGGAUCAUUACCGAGUUUACAACUCCCAAACCCCAAUGUGAACGUUACCAAUCUGUUGCCUCGGCGGGUUAUUUUUCUGCCCCGGGCGCGUCGCAGCCCCGGACCAAGGCGCCCGCCGGAGGACCAACUCUCAAACUCUUUUUGUAACAUCCCUUCGCGGAUUUUCUAAAUACUUUCUGAGCUUUCUCGGCGCUCCUAGCGAGCGUUUCGAAAAUGAAUCAAAACUUUCAACAACGGAUCUCUUGGUUCUG
rnacentral:misc_RNA from 1 species